GCCCCAGUAACGGCGAGUGAAGCGGCAACAGCUCAAAUUUGAAAUCUGGCUCUCGGGCCCGAGUUGUAAUUUGUAGAGGAUGCUUUUGGUGAGGUGCCUUCCGAGUUCCCUGGAACGGGACGCCAUAGAGGGUGAGAGCCCCGUCUGGUUGGACGCCGAACCUCUGUAAAGCUCCUUCGACGAGUCGAGUAGUUUGGGAAUGCUGCUCUAAAUGGGAGGUAUAUGUCUUCUAAAGCUAAAUACCGGCCAGAGACCGAUAGCGCACAAGUAGAGUGAUCGAAAGAUGAAAAGAACUUUGAAAAGAGAGUUAAACAGUACGUGAAAUUGUUGAAAGGGAAGCGCUUGUGACCAGACUUGGGCUUGGUUGAUCAUCCGGGGUUCUCCCCGGUGCACUCUUCCGGCCCAGGCCAGCAUCAGUUCGCCCUGGGGGACAAAGGCUUCGGGAACGUGGCUCUCUCCGGGGAGUGUUAUAGCCCGUUGCGUAAUACCCUGUGGCGGACUGAGGUUCGCGCAUUCGCAAGGAUGCUGGCGUAAUGGUCAUCAG
rnacentral:rRNA from 1 species